ACGAACGCUGGCGGCGUGCCUAAUCCAUGCAAGUCGAGCGAAGUUUUUCUGGUGCUUGCACCGGAAAAACUUAGCGGCGAACGGGUGAGUAACACGUAAAGAACCUGCCUCAUAGACUGGGACAACUAUUGGAAACGAUAGCUAAUACCGGAUAAUAGCAUUAACUGCAUGGUUGAUGUUUAAAAGUUGGUUUUGCUAACACUAUGAGAUGGCUUUGCGGUGCAUUAGCUAGUUGGUGGGGUAAAGGCCUACCAAGGCGACGAUGCAUAGCCGACCUGAGAGGGUGAUCGGCCACACUGGGACUGAGACACGGCCCAGACUCCUACGGGAGGCAGCAGUAGGGAAUCUUCCGCAAUGGGCGAAAGCCUGACGGAGCAACGCCGCGUGAGUGAAGAAGGAUUUCGGUUCGUAAAGCUCUGUUGUUAGGGAAGAAUGAUUGUGUAGUAACUAUACACAGUAGAGACGGUACCUAACCAGAAAGCCACGGCUAACUACGUG
rnacentral:rRNA from 1 species